rnacentral:rRNA from 1 species
UACGUAGGGUGCAAGCGUUAAUCGGAAUUACUGGGCGUAAAGCGUGCGCAGGCGGUUGUGCAAGACAGAUGUGAAAUCCCCGGGCUUAACCUGGGAAUUGCAUUUGUGACUGCAUAGCUAGAGUACGGUAGAGGGGGAUGGAAUUCCGCGUGUAGCAGUGAAAUGCGUAGAUAUGCGGAGGAACACCGAUGGCGAAGGCAAUCCCCUGGACCUGUACUGACGCUCAUGCACGAAAGCGUGGGGAGCAAACAGG